UCAAUUUCUCAAAACUUGUCAUCCUAACCCAUCUUAUUAGAGCUCUAUUUUCUGUAUAUAAUUAAUGUCACAUUGCUCUCUUAAUAAAUGGUCUCAUACCCUUUCUUCUGCACAGAUGAACCUCGUCCGACCAGCCUACAACAGGUGGCGACAAAAUCAACUCGGGGAAUUUUAAAAAUCCACAAUAAAUGAUUUUGUAAUGAUUUAACAGAAAUUGCCAGAGCUCAACAUGUCCAAUGAUUUCCCAUAGAAAAACACGCCAAACCCACCAAGCCAUUUGAAUUCAUUCGUUCAGAGAUACAACCACGGAGAGAGAGAGAGAGAGAGAGAGAGAGAGAAAAAGAAAUCCAAAGUUCAGAUCGGAAAAGAAAGCAGUGACCUCGUUCCGAGUCUACUCUGGUGAGUUUUCGGACCACUGAGGCACCACCGCCAUAGAUGGGCUACCCAUUUCAGAAUGAGAUUUCUCGCAAGAACGAGAUGGCGUGGCGAGUGGCUUUGAGCUGAAAGACCAAUUCUCAAGGUUGGAAUCAUUCCUGAGUUUGGAGCCUGAGCUGCCGAGUUUGCUGAGCGGAAACGGUGAGCUCGACUUUGUGGACCUUUGGCUGCUAGACGCCUUGGAUUUUGCUUGGAAGGCCCCUGUUAUACAAAUCCACCUGUUGCCCACCAUCAAAAGUUCCGAUCUUCCAAUGCUUAUGAGUUUUCGCUUCCCGGGUCUGUUCCCGACUGGUUCGGCCAAAGCCUUGGCUCGAUCUCGGUCCUGCUCGGCUGGUCCGAUUGUUUCGUCGAUCGACCUUUCUUUUGCACAGAAGAACCUCGUCCGACCAAUCUACAACAGGUGGCGACAAAAUCAACAGGAAUUUUAAAUCCACCAUAAAUGAUUUUGAAAUGAUUUCACAUAGACAUUGCCAUUUGCCGGAGCUCAACAUGUCCCCAAUGAUUUCCCCCAGAAACAGACGCCAAACCCACCGAGCCAUUUGAAUUCAUUCGUUCAGAGAUACAACCACGGAGAAAAAGAGAGAGAGACAGCAACAUAAAGAAAUCCAAAGUUCAGAUCGGAAAAGAAAGCAGUGGCCUCGUUCCCGAGUCUACUCGGGCGAGUUUUCGGACCACUAAGGCACCACCGCCAUAGAUGGGCUACCCAUUUGCGAAUGAGAUUUGUCGCAAGAACGAGGCGGCGUGGUUAGUUGCUUUGAGCUGAAAGAACAAUUCUCAAGGUUGGAAUCGUUCCUUCUGGGUUUGGAGCCUGAGCUGUCGAGUUUGCUGAGCGGAAGCGGAGAGCUUGACUUUGUGGACCUUUGCUUGCCAGACGCCUUGGAUUUUGCUUGGAUGGCCUCUGUUCUACAAAUCCACCUGUUGCCCACCAUCAGAAGUUCCGAUCUUCCAAUUCCUCUAGGUUUUCGCUUCCCGGGUCGAUCUAUUCCCGAUUGCUUCCGCCAAAGCCUUAGCUCGAUCUCGGUCCGAUUUUUUCGUCGUCCGGUAAGUUGCGUACACUGAAUUAUGCGUAUUUGCCUGAUAAUAGUCUUACUGGUACUCCAUGUCCUGCAUUAAGUAUGCGUAUUUGUCUGAAAAUAGUCUUUCUUAUAAUAGUUCCACUUCUUCCAAAUACAUGGUUAAUCGGAUGGUCUUUUUCGAUUGGUAGAACUCGAUCUUAGCAAGAAUUGUUGAUACGGGUCAUUGCCUGUGGGGUGGAGAGGGUUGAGGAGUUUACGGAGGAUGGUAUAUUGGACACACUAUUGUGGAGGGUCCAUUGCCGGAUGGUUUGUUUA